rnacentral:tRNA from 1 species
GCCUCCAUAGCUCAGUGGUAGAGAACUGGUCUCGUAAACGAGGUGUCUUGAGUUCAUACCUCACUGGAGGCA